GACGCUCAGACAGCCAGGAGGUUGGCUUAGAAGCAGCCAUCCUUUAAAGAAAGCGUAACAGCUCACUGGUCUAAACAAGGAUUCCUGCGCCGAAAAUGUAACGGGGCUCAAGCCACGAGCCGAAGCUUUGGGUGUGCACGCAAGUGCAUGCGGUAGCGGAACGUUCUGUAAGCCUGUGAAGGGAGACCCGUGAGGGCUCCUGGAGGUAUCAGAAGUGCGAAUGCUGGCACGAGUAACGAAACAGUGUGAAAGACACUGUCGCCGAAAGUCCAAGGGUUCCUGCGUAAAGCUAAUCUGCGCAGGGUUAGCCGGUCCCUAAGGUGAGGCCGAAAGGCGUAAUCGAUGGGAAUGCAGUCAAUAUUCUGCAGCCAGUGGGUAGUGACGAAUUCCAAAAGUUGUCUCCGGUUAUUGGAUUCUGGAGGCUGCGAAGGAGUUCCAGGAAAUAGCUCCCACAUAGACCGUACCCGAAACCGACACAGGUGGACUGGUAGAGAAUACCAAGGCGCUUGAGCGAACUAUGUUGAAGGAACUCGGCAAUUUACCUCCGUAACUUCGGGAUAAGGAGGACCCUUUGUUGGGCAACCAGCUAAGGGUGGCACAGACCAGGGGGUGGCGACUGUUUAACAAAAACACAGGGCUCUGCGAACUCGGAAGAGGACGUAUAGGGUCUGACGCCUGCCCGGUGCCGGAAGGUUAAGAGGAGGGGUGCAAGCUCUGAAUCGAAGCCCCGGUAAACGGCGGCCGUAACUAUAACGGUCCUAAGGUAGCGAAAUUCCUUGUCGGGUAAGUUCCGACCUGCACGAAUGGCGUAACGACUUCCCCGCUGUCUCCAACAUAGGCUCAGUGAAACUGAAUUCCCCGUGAAGAUGCGGGGUUCCUGCGGUCAGACGGAAAGACCCCGUGCACCUUUACUAUAGCUUUGCAAUGGCAUUCGUGACUGCUUGUGUAGGAUAGCUGGUAGACUUUGAAGCUCGGGCGCUAGCUCGGGUGGAGUCGAAAAGUGAAAUACCAGCCUAGUGGUUAUGGCUGUCUAACCGCGUCCCGUUAUCCGGGGCCGGGACAUUGCAUGGUGGGUAGUUUGACUGGGGCGGUCGCCUCCCAAAGAGUAACGGAGG
rnacentral:rRNA from 1 species